rnacentral:rRNA from 1 species
CCCUUAGAUGUUCUGGGCCGCACGCGUGCUACACUGAGUAAUUCAAUGGGUAAGGGAACGCUAGAGCAUUACCUAAUCUUGAAAUUUGCUCGUGAUGGGGAUCGACGGUUGCAAUUUUCCGUCGUGAACGAGGAAUACCUUGUAGGCGCAUGUCAUCAUCAUGCGCCGAAUACGUCCCUGCCCUUUGUACACACCGCCCGUCGCUCCUACCGAUUGAGUGAUCUGGUGAGGCUCUGGGACCUGGACGGAAAGAGCGUUUCGCUUGUUCUGUUUGGGAAACUUGGUCGAACCUUAUCAUUUAGAGGAAGGAGAAGUCGUAACA